rnacentral:lncRNA from 1 species
UUUCAACCUAAAACCUGUUUUCAUAGCGUGAAUUGAUAUCAAAAGGUGUUUGUCAUUACUAAAUCUAAGAUAAUAAUCUAUUGAGUACUAAGCCUAGACAUAUGUAUAUGCUCAAUAUCCAUAUGUAUUAUAGCAGGAUAAGUAUGGAGUCUUGCUACUUUACAACUGUUGAAACUUAAUGCUCUGUGUUGGUUAAUGUAACAUCUCAAAAUUUGCCCUCCUCUUCUCUAAAAA